UAAGAAGCAUGCUGUGAUAUUGAGUCAAUUGGUUGCCCAAUCACAGACAUCUUUCACUGACAGAGUAACAGCAAUGCUCAUUUUCAAAUCAUAUGAGAAGGCCUUGCUAACUGAUGGUCGAUGCUCACAGGUGUGUGGGCUUUGAGCAGUCGCUACACCUUCCCUCUUCAGGCAUGAUGAGAGGAUUCCUGCAGCGUUUUGCAAGAGGGUCCACACUACCUUUAUGAGCUGUAACACUCACCGUGAAGGUCUGCAGCUUCACUCCUGAAGCCAGCGAGACCACGAACCCACCGGGAGGAACGAACAACUCCAGAUGCGCCGCCUUAAGAGCUGUAAUACUCACCACGAAGGUCUGCACCUUCACUGCUGAGCAAGCGAGACCACGAACCCACCAGAAGAAAGAAACUCCUAACACAUCCGAACAUCAGAAGGAAGAAACUCCAGACGUGCCAUCUUAAGAGCUGUAACACUCACCGUGAAGGUCUGCAGCUUCAUUGUUGAAGUCAGUGAGACCAAGAACCCACCAAUUCCGGACACAGAAGGACGAGGAAUGAAGGGUGUUCCGGUGGGUACAUGUUGGCUCCUUUGCUCAGCUCAAGUGACCUCUGAAGCCUGUUCUACCUUUCACAGUGGGAAGAGAGGAAAGGGUCACUAGAGUCAUGUGUAAAAUGUGGCUCCAUCUUCUCAAAUCAGGGAUGAAUGCCUGCCUAUUUCUGGAUAUGUCAGGGAAGGCAGACACAGAGAGUUAGAGAAAGGGAAAGAGAAUGAGACAGAGAGAGACAGAGAUAAGAAGGGGGAGAGGGAGUGAAAAAGAGAGAAGGAGAGGGUAAGGGAGAGGAAGGGAGGGAAAGGGGGAGAGAGAGAAAGAGGGAGGGAGAGAGAGAAACAGAGGAGACAGGGCUGAGAUACCAGACAGUGGAUUUAGAGUUCCUGGUUCCCACAAGGCUCUUUGUGUGAAUCAGAACAAGUUUUUCCCACUGGACAGCUGCAUCCCUAUGGGUCCAUGGCUUUCCCACUGGGCUGCAUCUUGAUAUGAAUUAGAAAAUGUCAUCUUUAAGUUGGAGAUUCUCCACCUCAGCACUGUGGACAUUUGGGCCAGAUAAUUCUGCUUUGGUGGGCUGUCCUGUGUAGAAUGUUUAUAGUAGCAUUCCUGGCCAUUACUCACUAGGUGCCAGUAGAAUGUAUAUCAAAUUGUGACAAUCAAAAAUGUGUUCAGGUAUUGCCAAGUGCCUCCUGGAAGGCAAAAUUGCUCCCUGUGAGAUCCGCUAACUUAAGUGAACAUAGCUGCGUGCAGGAGUGCAUGGUUUGGAGAAAGGAUUGUAGGUGGGUUUUUAGUCGUUCCCCAACGACUUUCUGGGCUCCAGUUGCUUCCUUGGCCAGGUACACUUGUGCAGUGCACAAUCUCCACAACUGUACAUAGCAGUCCUGCUGGUUCCUGUGCAUUCCUGUGUCAUGGCUGAAUCUCUUCCACUGGGUUCUCUGGGACACUCUUGAGUCCUUAAAGCAAAUGUGCCCUUUAUACAUUGUCUGUCUUGACUUUAGUUUUAUUUGUAGGUGAACAGCCAUUGUUCUCUUCUUAUCCCUCCAUCUCUGUUUGUGUUUUAUCAGAAAUUUCAAAAGAUGCUACUCUGUUUAUGUUAGCACAAGUAGCUACUGUGUGUGUUUCGAAACUUUUUGCAAGUGUGAAAGUGUUUGGUUUGAAAGGUGGUACCUGUAUUCAACACUCAUCAAAUCUCUUCUUCAAGGGCCUUUUCUUUUUUCUCUGACCUUUUAUUUUUGGACCAAACACCUCUAAGACACCAUAGAGUGUAUCAGUUUCCUUACAAAAAUGUGGCAUCGUUCACUUCAUUAACGCUGUUUGAUCUUUGACAAGUGAUAAAGGUGUGAUAUGAAACAUAAUUUCUCAUAACUUGAAGAUACUCCAAUUAGCAUAUAUGAGAUGGGAAAAAAUAAAGAGGGUAUUUUCUAAUUAAUUGAAAAUCAUGCUUAGAUUUAGAAUGGUGUUUCCCAAACUAUCAGGUCUGUAAGUUCACAAGAAAGAAUCACCACCAUUUUUAAGUAACAAAAAUAAAAUAAUAUUUUGAACA
rnacentral:lncRNA from 1 species